rnacentral:lncRNA from 1 species
ACUCGCGGGGUCUGCCCGGGUCAGGAGCCCGAGUGGCGCUGCCCGCAGUUCGGCUCGCGCUUCGGCCCUGGGGGCGGGCGAUAUUCGUCGAGGCUUCCGGUGGGCCCGGGAUCGGGACACUGGGUCUCGGCCUCCAGACGGUCGCCACGGCCCUUUGCGACUCUGCUCGAGGAGAGACGCGGCCUCGAUGUCCCGGCGUCCUCCCUGUCCAGGCCCCCAAGACCCCGGCGACUGGCGAGCCCGGCAAUGCCUGCGGCGGACCGAGGGGGCGAGCCCGGCCGCGGCCGCAAGGGGACUGGUGCGCUGGCGGCCGUGCAGGCGCUUCCACCUUGCCUGGCCCGUGGGAAGGGUGUCCCACCUCCGCCAUGGCUGCGGCGGGAGGAGACGUCGGCCUCCAUUUUGUGGGAUCUGUUGGGAGAACUUGGGGCCCAUCAGAACCGAACCCGUGGGGACGAGAAACUUGGCCCGGAACGAGUCCGAUCGCGCUCUACCAUAGGCCUUGUCCUCGGCCGCCAAGAGUUUGCGCGCCGAGAUUGCGGCGGGGCCACAGGACAGUGGUGACCCCAGACUGCCGCCGGGCAAGAUGGAGCCCCGGGCUCCCUUAGCGGGCUCGCGCCCCUGGGACCUGGGCUGUCUGGCCUUGGCCGUCGGUGCCUGGCCGAGCACGCGCUCUCCGGCCUGCCCGGCGCCUGUCCUCCACGUUUGCCGGGCCUCGGGCCAUCGCGUGCCCUUCGCUUCAUCCUGGCUCCGUGGGCAGUGACCCUCUAAUGGGAGUCCCACCGGACGCAUUCGGAGCGGAGCCGCUGGAGGGCGGCACGAGGGUCUUUUGUUCCUCGUCUAUACCCAUGUCUUUGGCAGAAGACUUGGUGCCGGAUUUCCAGGACUCCCUGUAACCUAAGAAAUGCACCUCGCCCUGGUGUUUGUUAGCGGGAUUACAACUGAUGCUUUUAGGUUGGAUUGAGGUUCUUGUUACAUAAUAUGUGAAAAUAUAUGACUCUUAACUGGACUUGGUGGCGCAUGCUUUUAGUUCCAACACUUGCAGGCAGAGGCAGUUGGAUAUCUGUGAGUUCGAGGCCAGGUUGGUCUACAAAGUGGAUUCCUGGACAGUCAGGGCUACACAGAAAAACCCUGAGUUGAAAAACCAAAAGAGCAAAAAUAUAUAUGAGUCUCUCUUUUAAGACAAUGUCUAGCAUAGUCUGGCCUGGAACUCUGUGAUCUUUCUUCUGCCUUUGCCUCUCUCUUCCUCUGCCUCUGGAGCAUUGGGAUUGUAAGCAUGUCACCACUGCUUUCUUGGUUUAGGCUUAGAUAUGAUUUGAAAACAAAAUCCCACACCUCAUAGCACAGGAAUGGAGUGCCAGUAUUAAAGGCACAGAAGUAGCAGAAUCAGUUCAAAGCUGACCCAGGAUACAUUAACUGCCUCAAAGAGAAAAAACAAAACAAAACCACAAAAACCAGGCAGCUGAGUGGAAGGCUAUUAGAUGGCUCAGAGGUUAUGAGUGCUUCCUGCUCUUAAAGACUACCAGAUUUGUACCUUCGUGGAGCAGUUUCCAACUGCCAGCAACUGCAGUUCCAGGAGAUCCAAGCCCUUUUUUGGACAAGCUCUUCUGGCCUACCUACACACAUAGAUGUACAAAUACAUUCAUGAGCACAUAUACAUAUCUCAGAGUUACAGAAACCGGAGUUUUUUUUUUCAAUAUUUAAAACGCACAUCCCCUUUUUUUCUCUUCUGAAGUAUGAUAAAAGCAUGCUCAUUGGAUGACAAACAUAUAACCCUAAGUCAUGUUUCUUGUCCGUGGGUUGAUUGGUGGGAGAGUUAAGUAAGCUUUUAUAUUACAUAAUGCUUUACUCUCUGGACGUUACCAACAUCACCAGCAUUUUAUUUAAGUCUUCAAUGGCUGAAAAUAAAUGUGU